rnacentral:rRNA from 1 species
UACGUAGGGUGCAAGCGUUAAUCGGAAUUACUGGGCGUAAAGCGUGCGCAGGCGGUUUUGUAAGACAGAGGUGAAAUCCCCGGGCUCAACCUGGGAACUGCCUUUGUGACUGCAAGGCUUGAGUGCGGCAGAGGGGGAUGGAAUUCCGCGUGUAGCAGUGAAAUGCGUAGAUAUGCGGAGGAGCACCGAUGGCGAAGGCAAUCCCCUGGGCCUGCACUGACGCUCAUGCACGAAAGCGUGGGGAGCAAACAGG